ensembl:snRNA U1 U1 spliceosomal RNA
AUAUUUACCUGGCAGGCCAAGGACCAUGAUCAUGAAGCUGGUUUUCCCAAGAUUAAGCUUACCUAUUGCACUUUGGGUUUGCUGACGCCUGCGAUUUCCCCAAAUGUGGGAAACAUGACUGCAUAAUUUGUGAUAGUGGGAGGACUCCAUGCACACUCCAC